GAUGAACGCUGGCGGCGUGCCUAAUACAUGCAAGUCGAGCGAACAGAUAAGGAGCUUGCUCCUUUGACGUUAGCGGCGGACGGGUGAGUUACACGUGGAUAACCUACCUAUAAGACUGGGAUAACUUCGGGAAACCGGAGCUAAUACCGGAUAACAUAUUGAACCGCAUGGUUCAAUAGUGAAAGGCGGCUUUGCUGUCACUUAUAGAUGGAUCCGCGCCGUAUUAGCUAGUUGGUAAGGUAACGGCUUACCAAGGCAACGAUACGUAGCCGACCUGAGAGGGUGAUCGGCCACACUGGAACUGAGACACGGUCCAGACUCCUACGGGAGGCAGCAGUAGGGAAUCUUCCGCAAUGGGCGAAAGCCUGACGGAGCAACGCCGCGUGAGUGAUGAAGGUCUUCGGAUCGUAAAACUCUGUUAUCAGGGAAGAACAAAUGUGUAAGUAACUGUGCACAUCUUGACGGCACCUGAUCAGAAAGCCACGGCUAACUACGUG
rnacentral:rRNA from 1 species